ACUAAGCGUACACGGUGGAUGCCCUGGCAGUCAGAGGCGAUGAAGGACGUGCUAAUCUGCGAAAAGCGUCGGUAAGGUGAUAUGAACCGUUAUAACCGGCGAUGUCCGAAUGGGGAAACCCAGUGCAAUUCGUUGCACUAUCGUUAACUGAAUACAUAGGUUAACGAGGCGAACCGGGGGAACUGAAACAUCUAAGUACCCCGAGGAAAAGAAAUCAACCGAGAUUCCCCCAGUAGCGGCGAGCGAACGGGGAGCAGCCCAGAGUCUGAAUCAGCUUGUGUGUUAGUGGAACGGUCUGGAAAGUCCGACGGUACAGGGUGAUAGUCCCGUACACCAAAAUGCACAGGCUGUGAACUCGAAGAGUAGGGCGGGACACGUGGUAUCCUGUCUGAAUAUGGGGGGACCAUCCUCCAAGGCUAAAUACUCCUGACUGACCGAUAGUGAACCAGUACCGUGAGGGAAAGGCGAAAAGAACCCCGGCGAGGGGAGUGAAAAAGAACCUGAAACCGUGUACGUACAAGCAGUGGGAGCACCUUCGGGUGUGACUGCGUACCUUUUGUAUAAUGGGUCAGCGACUUAUAUUCUGUAGCAAGGUUAACCGUAUAGGGGAGCCGCAGGGAAACCGAGUCUUAACUGGGCGUUAAGUUGCAGGGUAUAGACCCGAAACCCGGUGAUCUAGCCAUGGGCAGGUUGAAGGUUGGGUAACACUAACUGGAGGACCGAACCGACUAAUGUUGAAAAAUUAGCGGAUGACUUGUGGCUGGGGGUGAAAGGCCAAUCAAACCGGGAGAUAGCUGGUUCUCCCCGAAAGCUAUUUAGGUAGCGCCUCGUGAACUCAUCUUCGGGGGUAGAGCACUGUUUCGGCUAGGGGGUCAUCCCGACUUACCAACCCGAUGCAAACUACGAAUACCGAAGAAUGUUAUCACGGGAGACACACGGCGGGUGCUAACGUCCGUCGUGAAGAGGGAAACAACCCAGACCGCCAGCUAAGGUCCCAAAGUCAUGGUUAAGUGGGAAACGAUGUGGGAAGGCACAGACAGCCAGGAUGUUGGCUUAGAAGCAGCCAUCAUUUAAAGAAAGCGUAAUAGCUCACUGGUCGAGUCGGCCUGCGCGGAAGAUGUAACGGGGCUAAACCAUGCACCGAAGCUGCGGCAGCGACACUAUGUGUUGUUGGGUAGGGGAGCGUUCUGUAAGCCUGCGAAGGUGUGCUGUGAGGCAUGCUGGAGGUAUCAGAAGUGCGAAUGCUGACAUAAGUAACGAUAAAGCGGGUGAAAAGCCCGCUCGCCGGAAGACCAAGGGUUCCUGUCCAACGUUAAUCGGGGCAGGGUGAGUCGACCCCUAAGGCGAGGCCGAAAGGCGUAGUCGAUGGGAAACAGGUUAAUAUUCCUGUACUUGGUGUUACUGCGAAGGGGGGACGGAGAAGGCUAUGUUAGCCGGGCGACGGUUGUCCCGGUUUAAGCAUGUAGGCUGAUUAUCCAGGCAAAUCCGGAUAAUCAAGGCUGAGGUGUGAUGACGAGGCACUACGGUGCUGAAGUAACAAAUGCCCUGCUUCCAGGAAAAGCCUCUAAGCAUCAGGUAACAUCAAAUCGUACCCCAAACCGACACAGGUGGUCAGGUAGAGAAUACCAAGGCGCUUGAGAGAACUCGGGUGAAGGAACUAGGCAAAAUGGUGCCGUAACUUCGGGAGAAGGCACGCUGGUGUGUAGGUGAAGCCCCUGCGGGUGGAGCUGAGACCAGUCGAAGAUACCAGCUGGCUGCAACUGUUUAUUAAAAACACAGCACUGUGCAAACACGAAAGUGGACGUAUACGGUGUGACGCCUGCCCGGUGCCGGAAGGUUAAUUGAUGGGGUUAUCCGUAAGGAGAAGCUCUUGAUCGAAGCCCCGGUAAACGGCGGCCGUAACUAUAACGGUCCUAAGGUAGCGAAAUUCCUUGUCGGGUAAGUUCCGACCUGCACGAAUGGCGUAAUGAUGGCCAGGCUGUCUCCACCCGAGACUCAGUGAAAUUGAACUCGCUGUGAAGAUGCAGUGUACCCGCGGCAAGACGGAAAGACCCCGUGAACCUUUACUAUAGCUUGACACUGAACAUUGAGCCUUGAUGUGUAGGAUAGGUGGGAGGCUUUGAAGCGUGGACGCCAGUCUGCGUGGAGCCAACCUUGAAAUACCACCCUUUAAUGUUUGAUGUUCUAACGUUGGCCCCUUACCGGGGUUGCGGACAGUGUCUGGUGGGUAGUUUGACUGGGGCGGUCUCCUCCCAAAGCGUAACGGAGGAGCACGAAGGUUAGCUAAUCCUGGUCGGACAUCAGGAGGUUAGUGCAAUGGCAUAAGCUAGCUUGACUGCGAGCGUGACGGCGCGAGCAGGUGCGAAAGCAGGUCAUAGUGAUCCGGUGGUUCUGAAUGGAAGGGCCAUCGCUCAACGGAUAAAAGGUACUCCGGGGAUAACAGGCUGAUACCGCCCAAGAGUUCAUAUCGACGGCGGUGUUUGGCACCUCGAUGUCGGCUCAUCACAUCCUGGGGCUGAAGUAGGUCCCAAGGGUAUGGCUGUUCGCCAUUUAAAGUGGUACGCGAGCUGGGUUUAGAACGUCGUGAGACAGUUCGGUCCCUAUCUGCCGUGGGCGCUGGAGAAUUGAGGGGGGCUGCUCCUAGUACGAGAGGACCGGAGUGGACGCAUCACUGGUGUUCGGGUUGUCAUGCCAAUGGCACUGCCCGGUAGCUAAAUGCGGAAGAGAUAAGUGCUGAAAGCAUCUAAGCACGAAACUUGCCCCGAGAUGAGUUCUCCCUGAGACUUUAAGUCUCCUGAAGGAACGUUAAAGACGAUGACGUUGAUAGGCCGGGUGUGUAAGCGCAGCGAUGCGUUGAGCUAACCGGUACUAAUGAACCGUGAGGCUUAACC
rnacentral:rRNA from 1 species